CACAUGAAUGAUGAAAAUAUCCGCACUUAUCUCUUGUUCAUCAAAAAUACAAAUCAUGUUCAUUGAUAUGAUUGUUGUAACAAAAAAAAAAUAGAAAUCCUAGGGAUCAAUACCCGAGUUAGAUUUGGUUUAUUUCUCCAUAAAUUCACGAUACUUUCUUUCUUUCUCCAGCAUUUGAUUCCUCCACAGUGUAGCUGCAAUAUUCAGAAGAUCUUUUUAAAAAUUAUAAUAUAAAGACGACAAUCCUAAUAUAAGCAAAACGACAUAAACAAUAAAAAAAAUAUAACAUGUUCAUCAAGAACCCCUUCUUCGAACCCCCACUGAAGCGCAAAUGUUCGUCAAGAGACACAGUAAUGUUCUAUAAAAUCAGUGAACAAAGAUAAACUUGUUCGCCUUCUACAAUAGAGAGUUUCGUAAUGGCUGCAGAAAAUUGAAAGAGAGAGAAGGUAAAAAGGCAUUAUACCUUUCUGACAGUAAUUACUAAUUACUAUGUAGUGAAAUGAGAAGAAUGAAAGUUAAAAUUUAGAGAUAUUCAAUGCGGUAAUCAAGGGAUAUAUGCAAAAUCAAGGGAUAUAUCUCCCUUGCACUUAAGGGCUGAUUUGUCUUUUAUUAUUUUAUCAUAACCGAUCUCUUCCACUAAAUAAGCAAAAACGUAUCUCCUAAUUAUGGUAUCUAAUAUUUUAAUCAUAUCAUCCCAUAUCCACUAGCCCACAACUGAUCUUUUUAAUCAAAGUAUGUAUUUUUUUAUUUCGUGUCCAAUUGAAUAAAGCUUCAUCAUGUUCAUGUUUCUUUGACUCCAUAUACAUAAUCAAAAUUUAUCAUGUUAUGAUAGAGUUUAAGUAACUGCAUAUUUUUUGUUCAUGGAAAAAUGUUCUAUUUUACUAUUGUUCACAACAUGAAUUUAUCUCCCUUGGACUUAUCUAGCAACAAAAUGUCUCCAAUAACAUCGUCCACACACUGAAAGUUGGUUAACAAAAGUCUCAAGUUUAUUCGAUUAUUUCUAUGUACUUCCUUUGUCUCAUUGUUUAUGGUCCAAAACUUUUCGACACGAAUUUUAAAAAGAUUAAAAUUAAAAAUAAAGGUAGAUUGGACCAUAUAUUUAGUGUUUAUUUUAAGUAUUUUAAAUUGUAUUUAAUCAACACUAAUAAAGCACAAUUACACUAAGCAUGGAUCAAACAACAAUAUUACAUCUCAUAAUUGCCCAAUAACAUGAAAGGUCUCACCCAAAACAAAGCAGGAAGAAGAAUCUUCCAUAUAUCCCUAAGAUUCUCUGAUCCCUCACGCCACACGUUGCAAUCAUCUGCCAGCUCGUCACUCAGACCAAUCUCGUCCCAAUUUUCCUUGCACAGAAGGUAAGAAUCUUGGUUAGAAACAAGAGAUUCAAUCGUAAGAGGAAGGGAUACAGACUGCAGAAUCAUCCUAGUCUUCAUCACUGUAACACAAGGGCAGCGAUAGAUCGAGGUCUAGAUGAUAGGGAGAAGGCACUGGCCUCUCUAGCCUCCAGUGGUAUCUUCGAUCUCCAACGAACCCCUCCACUCCCCCACGGGCUCCGUUUAUCUCUCGGACAUAGAGAACGGAAAGUACACCACUGGCGGUGGCAAAUCAAGGGAAUGAAAAUCUUCAUUGUAUGGAAUCCACUCACGGCUCAGGUACUCCAUCCACCCAAUAUUAGGAUUCAUCACGGCGAGAAGGUGAUGUAAAGAAGAUAGAUGAGUGCAAGAUGAUCGAUUUUCACAUAAAGGGGUGGAGAGUGAGAGGAGAACUAAGGUUUGGAAGAGAUGAGAGAAGGGCGGCAGGUGGGAGAGAUGUUCG
rnacentral:lncRNA from 1 species